rnacentral:rRNA from 1 species
GUGUAUGGGCUGAGUUUUUAAAAAAAGCGCGCCCGAUCUCGUCUGAUCUCGGAAGCUAAACAGGGUCGGGCCUGGUUAGUACUUGGAUGGGAGACCGCCUGGGAAUACCAGGUGCCGUAAGCU